rnacentral:tRNA from 1 species
ACUUAAAUAGCUUAUAUGUAGAGCAUAACACUGAAGAUGUUGGGGAAGUUGUUCAACUUUUAGGUA